rnacentral:rRNA from 1 species
UGAACGCUGGCGGUAUGCUUAACACAUGCAAGUCGAACGGAAACGAUACUAGCUUGCUAGUAGGCGUCGAGUGGCGGACGGGUGAGUAACGCGUAGGAAUCUGCCUGAUAGUGGGGGAUAGCCCGAAGAAAUUCGGAUUAAUACCGCAUAAUCUAUUCGUAGUAAAGUGGGGGACUUUCGAGCCUCACGCUAUCAGAUGAGCCUGCGUAAGAUUAGCUUGUUGGUAGGGUAAAAGCCUACCAAGGCGACGAUCUUUAGCUGGUCUGAGAGGAUGAUCAGCCACAUCGGGACUGAGACACGGCCCGAACUCCUACGGGAGGCAGCAGUGGGGAAUAUUGGACAAUGGGGGCAACCCUGAUCCAGCAAUACCGCGUGUGUGAAGAAGGCCUGAGGGUUGUAAAGCACUUUCAAUUGUGAAGAAAAGUUAGCGGUCAAUAACCGUUAGCCUUGACGUUAACUUUAGAAGAAGCACCGGCUAACUCCGUGCCAGCAGCCGCGGUAAUACGGAGGGUGCAAGCGUUAAUCGGAAUUACUGGGCGUAAAGCGUGCGUAGCGGUUUAUUAAGUCAGAUGUGAAAGCCCCGGGCUUAACCUGGAACUGCAUUUGAAACUGGUCAACUAGAGUAUGGUAGAGGAAAGUGGAAUUUCUGGUGUAGCGGUGAAUGCGUAGAAUAUUCAGAAGACAUCAUGGCGAAGGCAGCUUUCUGGACCAAUACUGACGCUGAGGUACGAAAGCGUGGGUAGCAAACAGGAUUAGAUACCCUUGUAGUCCACGCCGUAAACGAUGAUAACUAGCCGUUGGGGGGAUUUACCCUUUAGUGGCGAAGCUAACGCGUUAAGUUAUCCGCUGGGGAGUACGGCCGCAAGGUUAAAACUCAAAGGAAUUGACGGGGACCCGCACAAGCGGUGGAGCAUGUGGUUUAAUUCGAUGCAACGCGAAGAACCUUACCUGGUCUUGACAUCCUGCGAACUUUCUAGAAAUAGAUUGGUGCCUUCGGGAACGCAGUGACAGGUGCUGCAUGGCUGUCGUCAGCUCGUGUCGUGAGAUGUUGGGUUAAGUCCCGUAACGAGCGCAACCCCUAUCCUUAUUUGCCAACACAUCAUGGUGGGAACUAUAAGGAGACUGCCGGUGAUAAACCGGAGGAAGGCGGGGACGACGUCAAGUCAUCAUGGCCCUUACGACCAGGGCUACACACGUGCUACAAUGGGAAGGACAAAGAGCCGCGAAGCCGCGAGGUGUAGCUAAUCUCAUAAACCUUUUCGUAGUCCGGAUUGGAGUCUGCAACUCGACUCCAUGAAGUCGGAAUCGCUAGUAAUCGUAGAUCAGAAUGCUACGGUGAAUACGUUCCCGGGUCUUGUACACACCGCCCGU